CAGAAUUUUACAAAGUCCCUGAUUCAGUGACUGAACUGGCCCUCUGGAAGAAUGCCUGAAGACAAUAAGCAGGAUUUUAAAGAAGCGUAACAAGGGAGAUUGACCUAUAUACCCAGGAUUUCUGUCAUUACCAUGAGUUUUGGAGAGAUUACAACUGUAAGAAAAAAAUCAUCAUGCCACUGUAACUUAGUGACGGAGACAAUAUGCAACACAGACAUAACAAUUAGUCAUGUUGGGCAUAAAUGUGAAAUAUCUUCUUCUCAUUAACUCAGAAGUCUAUAGCCACUCUCUUCAAAGCAAAAAACGAACAAACUAAUAAGCUUUCUGAUUGAGUUCAUUUUGAAAAUUUUCUAAAGGUAUUUUAUAAGAAAUCUUGUUACUUAUAUUCUUAUAUACUUUAUUGAAAGAUGCACACACAAAAGGUUUUAAGGAAAAGGCAUCUCCUCUAUGUACCUGAGAAGCUGAGCUGUUUUUGUGUUUCCUUUAUACUGAUAUAUUGCUGUAGAGGAUUUGGAAGGUCAGAUGUUCACAUUUUUAUUCUUCCCACUUCAUUAUUUAUGCCUGUUCUUCUCUUUUGGGACUUGUUAUGGAAAAGGUAGAGAAAAAGAAUACAUUUACUUGGUCUAUGAAUCCUCAUUUUUUUGUGUGUAAAACAUUUUAAAAACCAUGUCUUGAUUUAUUUCUAUGUCAAGCUUCCAAUAAAUGCUUUACACAAAAACCAUGUUCACUUUAGAGCACCUAAAUUAGUGUUUUGGUUUUCAGUGAGGAAGAGCAAAAUCCGUGUGGCUUGUUGCUGGAACAAGAUGUACAUUUGAGACUCUGGAAUUCUACUGUGAUUUUUAUCCCAUUCUCCCCGCUGCCUUUUUGUAGCAACAACUGUCAGGAUUGGAAGAUUGUGUUUGUGUUGUUUGUUUAAUUUAU
rnacentral:lncRNA from 10 species